rnacentral:rRNA from 1 species
UAGGGAAUCUUCCGCAAUGGACGCAAGUCUGACGGAGCAACGCCGCGUGAGUGAAGAAGGAUUUCGGUUCGUAAAACUCUGUUGUUAGAGAAGAACAGCGCAUAGAGUAACUGUUAUGCGUGUGACGGUAUCUAACCAGCAAGCCACGGCUAACUACGUGCCAGCAGACGCGGUAAUACGUAGGUGGCAAGCGUUGUCCGGAUUUAUUGGGCGUAAAGCGAGCGCAGGCGGUCAAUUAAGUCUGGUGUGAAAGCCCCCGGCUCAACCGGGGAGGGUCAUUAGAAACUGGUUGACUUGAGUGCGGAAGAGGAGAGUGGAAUUCCAUGUGUAGCGGUGAAAUGCGUAGUUAUAUGGAGGAACACCAGUGGCGAAGGCGACUCUCUGGUCUGUAACUGACGCUGAGGCUCGAAAGCGUGGGUAGCAAACAGG